rnacentral:sRNA from 2 species
ACGCCUCGUUCGGUUUCAUCCUCCUCCCAGAAACUGGACCAUAAGCGCGGCACUCCUCCUCCCAGUCGCGCUUUACCAAUCAGCCCGUUGUGCACUCCUCCCACCGCAACGGGCUUUUU